GAUGAACGCUAGCUACAGGCUUAACACAUGCAAGUCGAGGGGAAACGGCAUCGAAAGCUUGCUUUUGAUGGGCGUCGACCGGCGCACGGGUGAGUAACGCGUAUCCAACCUGCCCAUCACUUGGGAAUAACCUUGCGAAAGUAAGACUAAUGCCCAAUGACAUCCCACGAAGGCAUCCGAAUGGGAUUAAAGAUUUAUCGGUGAUGGAUGGGGAUGCGUCUGAUUAGCUUGUUGGCGGGGUGACGGCCCACCAAGGCAACGAUCAGUAGGGGUUCUGAGAGGAAGGUCCCCCACAUUGGAACUGAGACACGGUCCAAACGCCUACGGGAGGCAGCAGUGAGGAAUAUUGGUCAAUGGGCGAGAGCCUGAACCAGCCAAGUAGCGUGCAGGAUGACGGCCCUAUGGGUUGUAAACUGCUUUUAGAAGGGAAUAAAGUGGGUCACGUGUGACUUUUUGCAUGUACCUUAUGAAUAAGGACCGGCUAAUUCCGUG
rnacentral:rRNA from 1 species